rfam:Hafnia alvei FB1, complete genome.
CGGGUGGGGGAACUGACCCAAAAAAGAAUGAGCCGGCAGCGCCAGUAACCGCGCGGCCGGCAAGC